AGUCUGGUGCCAGCAGCCGCGGUAAUUCCAGCUCCAAUAGCGUAUAUUAAAGUUGUUGCAGUUAAAAAGCUCGUAGUUGGAUUUCUGGUAUGAUGCAUUUGUCCCGGCUAGAAAUAGAUCGUGUGACUUUGUGCGUCUACCAUCCUUCGCUACAGAUGUGCUGGCGUGUAAAAGCGUUAGCAGCUGUUGUGAUCUUUUACUUUGAAAAAAUUAGAGUGUUUAAAGCAGGCUUGUGCCUUGAAUACAUUAGCAUGGAAUAAUAAUAUAGGACUGGGUUCCUAUUUUGUUGGUUUUCUGGAAUCGAGUAAUGAUUGAUAGGGAUAGUUGGGGGUGCUAGUAUUCAGCGGCCAGAGGUGAAAUUCUUUGAUUCGCUGAAGACUAACUUAUGCGAAAGCAUUCACCAAGGAUGUCUUCUUUAAUCAUAACGAAAGUUGGGGGAUCGAAGACGAUCAGAUACCGUCGUAGUCUCAACCAUAAACUAUACCGACUAGGGAUUAGUGGAAGUUGCUUUUCGACUCCAUUAGCACCUUAUGAGAAAUCAUAAGUCCUUGGGUUCUGGGGGGAGUAUGGUCGCAAGGCUGAAACUUAAAGGAAUUGACGGAAGGGCACCACCAGGAGUGGAGCCUGCGGCUUAAUUUGACCCAACACGGGGAAACUUACCAGGUCCAGACACAGGGAGGAUUGACAGAUUGAAGUUCUUUCUUGAUUCUGUGGGUGGUGGUGCAUGGCCGUUCUUAGUUGGUGGAGUGAUUUGUCUGGUUUUUUCCGUUAACGAACGAGACCUCGACCUGCUAAAUAGUAUGGAGUACUCCGGUACUUACAUGCUUCUUAGAGGGACUGACGGUGGUGAGCCGUAGGAAGUUCGAGGCAAUAACAGGUCUGUGAUGCCCUUAGAUGUUCUGGGCCGCACGCGCGCUACACUGAUACGUUCAUCGAGCAUACAACCUGGGUUGAGAGACUUGGGUAAUCUUUUCAAAGCGUAUCGUGCUGGGGAUAGAUCAUUGUAAUUAUUGAUCUUCAACGAGGAAUUCCUAGUAAGCGCGAGUCAUCAGCUCGCACUGAUUACGUCCCUGCCCUUUGUACACACCGCCCGUCGCUGCUACCGAUUGAAUGCAUUAGUGAGCUCCACGGACCGCUGUAUUUGUUCGCAAGGGCUUAUAUGGUGAAAUGUGGCGCAAACUUGCGCAUUUAGAGGAAGCAAAAGUCGU
rnacentral:rRNA from 1 species